CCCAAGUAAUCCUGCACCACUUCUAAAAUUUUCAGAAUCCUCAGAAUCAGGAUCAGGGCCCCUAAAACUCAGGGGGGGGGGUAUUCCCCACUUGACGAUUAUCCAUAAUAAUUUGCUGUCAAAAUUUGAAAUUAUCAUUUCAUCGAAUCAGCUAACCUAUCAAUGCACGUAGCAAGCCUAUGACGAAUCGUGGCCCGUCGCGUCACGCGGCGCCCCCUAUGGACCCCUCGCGUCACGCGAGAGGGUCAAUUUUCAGCUAUAAAUAGCUUGGUUCACAAGCUGUUCGUCUGUGUCAAAACUAAUUCACAAAAGUGAAUUCUCACCACUCAAAAUUCAAAUUUAAGAUAUCGGGGUACUGCUACGAUACCGGGUAUUAACUUGAUCGCUGCUACGAUUCAAUAUCCGAUCAACUGAAACUAUCCAACAGGAUGUUUAAGUGUUAUCCUUUGUCAUUAAUCGUGAUUCCGACAGGAUGUUUGAGUGCCGCCCAAACUCGGGGUGGACUCUGUCAUUCGUUGUGAAUCCGAUGGAUGUUUAAGUGAUUUCAUUUUGUCAUUCGUCGUGAGGGUUUUAGUCUCGUGAAUUUAUCGUAAAUGCUGUAUUAGUUAUUUACCUAGUUUUGUGUGCAUUAUCGCUUAAAUUAGGUUAUCAGGCUUAUCAUUAGACUAAACACUACCCCUUACACUUACAAUCAAAGUAGAUGCUAAUUCUCAAAACAAUCUGAAUCAUGAAGCUUGUCAAUUCAAUACUGCAUGUUUAUAAUGUAAUUACAGUAGAUUGGAGUAAGAAUUGGAUCCGGCACUGAAGGACUUCAAGAAGUGGCUUAUUUUAUUAAUUAAAUCAACUUAAAAAAAAUAUUGUUUUUGGGUUUAUCCCGUAUUAAAAGCUACCUUUGUAAAACAUGGAAUUUAUUCCAUCUAUUUAAAUAAAAUCCGGUGUUUCUAAACUCUGAUAUUUUUCCUAACUCACGGUCCUAAUGAAAUGUCACACCCCGAUUUCCACGUGUCUCACCGGUGGGCCCGGUAGGGGAUUAUCGUGACGUAGUUGGCAACAAUAUAGUCAAACCACACAAUAUAUGAAUGCACAGCGGAAGCAUAAAGAUAAUUAUAUUUCAACCAUUGUUUGUAAUAUCAAAUGUAUUACGAAUAGUCGAAAGGUAUCCACAGGGGAUCAAAUAAAAAUAUAAGUAUUGU
rnacentral:lncRNA from 1 species